rnacentral:rRNA from 1 species
GGGUUGUGAGGUUAAGCGACUAAGCGUACACGGUGGAUGCCCUGGCAGUCAGAGGCGAUGAAGGACGUGCUAAUCUGCGAUAAGCGCCGGUAAGGUGAUAUGAACCGUUAUAACCGGCGAUUUCCGAAUGGGGAAACCCAGUGUGACUCGUCACACUAUCAUUAACUGAAUCCAUAGGUUAAUGAGGCGAACCGGGGGAACUGAAACAUCUAAGUACCCCGAGGAAAAGAAAUCAACCGAGAUUCCCCCAGUAGCGGCGAGCGAACGGGGAGGAGCCCAGAGCCUGAAUCAGCAUGUGUGUUAGUGGAAGCGUCUGGAAAGGCGCGCGAUACAGGGUGACAGCCCCGUACACAAAAGCGCAUAUGCUGUGAGCUCGAUGAGUAGGGCGGGACACGUGGUAUCCUGUCUGAAUAUGGGGGGACCAUCCUCCAAGGCUAAAUACUCCUGACUGACCGAUAGUGAACCAGUACCGUGAGGGAAAGGCGAAAAGAACCCCGGCGAGGGGAGUGAAAAAGAACCUGAAACCGUGUACGUACAAGCAGUGGGAGCCCCACCACUAAGCCAGUGGUGAACUCCACAUACGCAUCCUUUGCUGAGGAUACGGUUAACGGAGCGCAAGCGACGUUCAACCUCAAAAGAAGCAGAGGGGGCUUAGUGGUGGGGUGACUGCGUACCUUUUGUAUAAUGGGUCAGCGACUUAUAUUCUGUAGCAAGGUUAACCGAAUAGGGGAGCCGGAGGGAAACCGAGUCUUAACCGGGCGUUAAGUUGCAGGGUAUAGACCCGAAACCCGGUGAUCUAGCCAUGGGCAGGUUGAAGGUUGGGUAACACUAACUGGAGGACCGAACCGACUAAUGUUGAAAAAUUAGCGGAUGACCUGUGGCUGGGGGUGAAAGGCCAAUCAAACCGGGAGAUAGCUGGUUCUCCCCGAAAGCUAUUUAGGUAGCGCCUCGUGAAUUCAUCUCCGGGGGUAGAGCACUGUUUCGGCUAGGGGGCCAUCCCGGCUUACCAACCCGAUGCAAACUGCGAAUACCGGAGAAUGUUAUCACGGGAGACACACGGCGGGUGCUAACGUCCGUCGUGAAGAGGGAAACAACCCAGACCGCCAGCUAAGGUCCCAAAGUCAUGGUUAAGUGGGAAACGAUGUGGGAAGGCCCAGACAGCCAGGAUGUUGGCUUAGAAGCAGCCAUCAUUUAAAGAAAGCGUAAUAGCUCACUGGUCGAGUCGGCCUGCGCGGAAGAUGUAACGGGGCUAAACCAUGCACCGAAGCUGCGGCAGCGACGCUGAUGCGUUGUUGGGUAGGGGAGCGUUCUGUAAGCCUGUGAAGGUGUGCUGUGAGGCAUGCUGGAGGUAUCAGAAGUGCGAAUGCUGACAUAAGUAACGAUAAAGCGGGUGAAAAGCCCGCUCGCCGGAAGACCAAGGGUUCCUGUCCAACGUUAAUCGGGGCAGGGUGAGUCGACCCCUAAGGCGAGGCCGAAAGGCGUAGUCGAUGGGAAACGGGUUAAUAUUCCCGUACUUGGUGUUACUGCGAAGGGGGGACGGAGAAGGCUAUGUUGGCCGGGCGACGGUUGUCCCGGUUUAAGCGUGUAGGUGUGUGUUCCAGGUAAAUCCGGUUCACUUUAACACUGAGGCGUGACGACGAGGCACUACGGUGCUGAAGCAACAAAUGCCCUGCUUCCAGGAAAAGCCUCUAAGCAUCAGGUAACAUCAAAUCGUACCCCAAACCGACACAGGUGGUCAGGUAGAGAAUACCAAGGCGCUUGAGAGAACUCGGGUGAAGGAACUAGGCAAAAUGGUGCCGUAACUUCGGGAGAAGGCACGCUGACACGUAGGUGAAGUGAUUUACUCACGGAGCUGAAGUCAGUCGAAGAUACCAGCUGGCUGCAACUGUUUAUUAAAAACACAGCACUGUGCAAACACGAAAGUGGACGUAUACGGUGUGACGCCUGCCCGGUGCCGGAAGGUUAAUUGAUGGGGUCAGCGCAAGCGAAGCUCCUGAUCGAAGCCCCGGUAAACGGCGGCCGUAACUAUAACGGUCCUAAGGUAGCGAAAUUCCUUGUCGGGUAAGUUCCGACCUGCACGAAUGGCGUAAUGAUGGCCAGGCUGUCUCCACCCGAGACUCAGUGAAAUUGAACUCGCUGUGAAGAUGCAGUGUACCCGCGGCAAGACGGAAAGACCCCGUGAACCUUUACUAUAGCUUGACACUGAACAUUGAGCCUUGAUGUGUAGGAUAGGUGGGAGGCUUUGAAGUGUGGACGCCAGUCUGCAUGGAGCCGGCCUUGAAAUACCACCCUUUAAUGUUUGAUGUUCUAACGUGGACCCGUGAUCCGGGUUGCGGACAGUGUCUGGUGGGUAGUUUGACUGGGGCGGUCUCCUCCUAAAGAGUAACGGAGGAGCACGAAGGUUGGCUAAUCCUGGUCGGACAUCAGGAGGUUAGUGCAAUGGCAUAAGCCAGCUUGACUGCGAGCGUGACGGCGCGAGCAGGUGCGAAAGCAGGUCAUAGUGAUCCGGUGGUUCUGAAUGGAAGGGCCAUCGCUCAACGGAUAAAAGGUACUCCGGGGAUAACAGGCUGAUACCGCCCAAGAGUUCAUAUCGACGGCGGUGUUUGGCACCUCGAUGUCGGCUCAUCACAUCCUGGGGCUGAAGUAGGUCCCAAGGGUAUGGCUGUUCGCCAUUUAAAGUGGUACGCGAGCUGGGUUUAGAACGUCGUGAGACAGUUCGGUCCCUAUCUGCCGUGGGCGCUGGAGAACUGAGGGGGGCUGCUCCUAGUACGAGAGGACCGGAGUGGACGCAUCACUGGUGUUCGGGUUGUCAUGCCAAUGGCACUGCCCGGUAGCUAAAUGCGGAAGAGAUAAGUGCUGAAAGCAUCUAAGCACGAAACUUGCCCCGAGAUGAGUUCUCCCUGAGACUUUAGGUCUCCUGAAGGAACGUUGAAGACGACGACGUUGAUAGGCCGGGUGUGUAAGCGCAGCGAUGCGUUGAGCUAACCGGUACUAAUGAACCGUGAGGCUUAACCUUACAACGCCGAAG